rnacentral:lncRNA from 1 species
ACUGCACUGAAUAAAAGUUGUUUUCUAGGAUCCUGAUCCUGGACAUAUUGCCUAUUCAUUGAAUAAUAAAUGGAAAACCUUAUGCAGAAAACUUUUCAGGACCUUCACAUCAGAUGUACUACCUGAGCUGGAUAACCAGAGAAUUUGAGGAAAUGAGUAGUCAAGAACAAAGCUCUACUAAUUAGCUUUGAGACUGUCAGUCUGAUGGGGGCCAUCAGUAAGGAAAAUGAGAAGCAAUCAGUGAAAGGACUUCUGUCUCAACAACACACAGAAAAAUGCUGGAGCUAUACUCAUUGGAAGAUGAUACAAAAUCCAUCCCAAGUUUCAGCUCCCAGAAGAGUACAAGGUGGG